UCUCAAGGAACAUUCAACGCUGUCGGUGAGUUUGUGACAAAGGAGAAACCAUCGAGCGUUGAGUGUACCCGAAC
rfam:Oryzias latipes DNA, ultracontig102, strain: Hd-rR.